rnacentral:lncRNA from 1 species
UCCCCCACGAGUUAAUACAAAAGGAUAGCAUCCCCUAUAUAGUCAGAUGUGGUGUGUAGGUGGGAUGGCAAGGAAGCUACGCGCGAGGCUGGAGACUAAAGGCUAAUUCUCUACUAAACAAAAGAGAGCAUUUCGCUGAUAUUUUCCUCUUAUUUUGUAAGCAGCUGUGUGCUAAUCUAGUUUUCUUUUGAUACGACGUGCUGCUGAUAUUUUCCUCUUAUUUUGUACGCAGCUGUGUGCUAAUCUAGUUUUCUUUUGAUACGACAUGCUACUAUUUGGUGACAGAUAAUUCGGGAGAUGACUUUGGGAGGACCUUGGC